ensembl:rRNA 5S_rRNA 5S ribosomal RNA
UGUGACAGCCAUACAACUAUGGUCACGCCCGAUCUCGUCUGAUCUCGGAAGCUAAGCAAGGUUGGGCCUGGUUAGUACUUGGAUGGGAGACCGCCUGGGAAUGCCAGGGAAUGUAAAUG